CUAUCUUACUUUAUGUCCAUUCUCUUUUGUGCUGAUUGUUUUUUUACUCCUGAUAAUCUAAGGAAGUCGAAGUUGUAGACACUGAUCACUAAUAUUUUUACACCUGUAAUUUUCCUUCAGUAUGAAUAGCUAUUGGCAUAGCACUACUUCUAAACCAAUGUUUGUUACUUUGUAUAAUUGAUUUUUAUCUCACUGAUAUCAUUAAUGAAUAUUUUUCACAAAUACUAAUCCAUCAAUAUACCCAACUUCCCGAGCCAUAUUUUGCAUAAAGUUCAUAUUAAUCAGCAUGAAUAAGGUACCCACAUGUUCGUACUUCCUCUGCAGCCCCUUUUCUUUUUUCCUUUCGGACACAGUUAAUACUAAAAUUUUGUUUACAUCGUAAAGAAUCUCAACAUAGUGGCGCAUACCAGCCAACCGUAUAGAGCUAGAUUUGUCAUGCCUUUAAGAUUUUUUCCCUCGGACACAUUGGGAUAAAACAAUUGAAAUUGCAUCUGAUCAUGUAUAUCUUUUUUGGAUUAUAUAUAAUGUAAUCUUCAAACUGCUGAUGAGAUCUGUCUUUUCCCUCUUUGGUGUGUGUGUGUGUGCGCGCGCGCGCGCGAAUGGCCAAUAGAGAUAUGCAACUCUGUGCAUGGACAGUAUGAAAUCCUACAGUUAAUGUAUUUUAUUAUCCUUAAGUAAAUAAUCCAACCUUUGUGUUCAGCAUGCUGCAUUUCUGUUGCAAAACAAUGAAGUCUAUCAUGUGGUGUGGAGACGGGUAUAUGAGCCUAAUCUAGGAUCAGCAUAUAGAGCUAAAAAGAUGUACAGUACAGCACCAGCAGGCCGAUCAUGGUUCCUGCUCACAAAGUCCGGGCCAUAGAUACCAUCCUACACAUGAGAAGUAGAAGCCUGCAUCAGAUUCCAAAGACUAUAUGUUAUCGUACUUUGUGUGUUUCUUUUCCUUCAUUUCCCGCGAAUUACAGUAAACUGCAGGUUUCGUGCAGAAUUAAGGGCAGGUUAAAUUAAUAGUGGCCAUUGUACAACUACUGUUCUUUUUCUUUCCAUGGUUCGCUUCUGUGGCUAUCAAGUGUCCUGACCCUUUUUGUGCUCCGCUUUUUCUGUCGGGUAUAUUAGGAUGGCUGGCCUUCAAGUGCAGGUGCAAAUGUUACCAGUAUGGAUGCACUCUCUCAUGAAGGAAUCAAAUUUCAUAUGCUCAAGGUUUUGGGGGCUAGAAAAUCUAGGCGCUUUCUUCUGAAGUGGUGUUGCUUAUCUGAAAUGUUGCAUUCCCAGAUUGAGCAAUUGCAGGAUCAGGGCCAUAUUCAGGUUCUUAACUGAAGCCUCCUGCGGCUGAUGGUCCCAGAUCCUCAAGCCUCAACACUUGGGCUAUCUGUAAGAGAUGGUGCAUUCCCAGGCACGGUGGACUCAGUAUAGAUAAAAUACUUACACUCUACUUCAUGUACUCUUCUAUCUGAUGUGCUGAUCUUUGUGAUGUGUGCGUGUGUAUGUCCCUGCACUAAAUAAGUAGAUGUAAGUUGCGCUUAACUAGCCUACUGCCUUCACAGUAUUUGUUCUUCAGUUUUCAGUUACCAAUCGACCACUGAUGGGUAAUUUCACUGAAAUGAACGAACUGAAAGUGUUUAGGGUGGAAUAACUAUUUUCUUCUUCUGGCCUUUGCA